rnacentral:rRNA from 1 species
UACGUAGGGUGCAAGCGUUAUCCGGAAUUAUUGGGCGUAAAGAGCUCGUAGGCGGUUUGUCGCGUCUGCUGUGAAAACUGGAGGCUCAACCUCCAGCCUGCAGUGGGUACGGGCAAACUAGAGUGCGGUAGGGGAGAUUGGAAUUCCUGGUGUAGCGGUGGAAUGCGCAGAUAUCAGGAGGAACACCGAUGGCGAAGGCAGCUCGCUGGGACGGUACUGACGCUGAGACGCGAAAGCGUGGGGAGCAAACAGG